rnacentral:rRNA from 1 species
GAGUUUGAUCAUGGCUCAGAAUGAACGUUGGCGGCGUGGAUUAGGCAUGCAAGUCGAGGGAGAACCCGCAAGGGGGAAACCGGCGAACGGGGUAGGAUCACGUCGGUACGUACCCUCAGGACGGGGAUAGCUACGGGAAACUGUAGGUAAUACCCGAUAAUCUGGUGCAAACCAGCAAAGGUGAGAUUCCACCUGAGGAGCGGCUGACGCGCUACUAGCUAGUUGGUGAGGUAACGGCUCACCAAGGCGACGAUGGCUAGGGGGUGUGAGAGCAUGGCCCCCACCACUGGCACUGAGACACUGGCCAGACACCUACGGGUGGCUGCAGUCGAGAAUCUUCGGCAAUGGGCGCAAGCCUGACCGAGCGACGCCGCGUGCGGGAUGAAGGCCUUCGGGUUGUAAACCGCUGUCGGAGGGGAUGAAGUGUCCGGAAGUAAUCUUCCGGAUUUGACAGAGCCUCGGAGGAAGCACGGGCUAAGUUCGUGCCAGCAGCCGCGGUAC